GGGGAUCGAAAGACCUUAUGCUUUUGGAGCGGCCGAUGUCUGAUUAGCUAGUUGGUGGGGUAAUGGCCUACCAAGGCGACGAUCAGUAGCUGGUCUGAGAGGAUGGCCAGCCACACUGGGACUGAGACACGGCCCAGACUCCUACGGGAGGCAGCAGUGGGGAAUUUUGGACAAUGGGCGCAAGCCUGAUCCAGCAAUGCCGCGUGAGUGAAGAAGGCCUUCGGGUUGUAAAGCUCUUUCAGUUGAGAAGAAAAGAACGUGAAUAAUACGCGCGUUUUAUGACGGUAUCAACAGAAGAAGCACCGGCUAACUACGUGCCAGCAGCCGCGGUAAUACGUAGGGUGCGAGCGUUAAUCGGAAUUACUGGGCGUAAAGGGUGCGCAGGCGGUUCUGAAAGUCAGAUGUGAAAUCCCUGGGCUUAACCUAGGAAUUGCGUUUGAAA
rnacentral:rRNA from 1 species